GGUAGCUCAGUCAAUGGAGCAUGAAACUCUUAAUCUCAGGGUUGUGGGUUCAAGCCCCAAGUUGGGCA